CUAGUACUCCCUCCGUUCGGAAUUACUUGUCUCGGAAAUGGAUGUAUCUAGAACUAAAAUACGUCUAGAUACAUCCAUUUCUACGACAAGUAAUUCCGAAUGGAGGGAGUAGUUC
rfam:Triticum aestivum genome assembly, contig: Triticum_aestivum_CS42_TGACv1_scaffold_571423_7AS